GAUGAAGAACGUAGCGAAAUGCGAUAAGUAAUGUGAAUUGCAGAAUUCAGUGAAUCAUCGAAUCUUUGAACGCACAUUGGGCCCCCUGGUAUUCCGGGGGCAUGCCUGUCCGAGCGUCAUUACAACCCUCAAGCUCAGCUUGGUGUUGGGCCCCGCCGCCCCGGCGGGCCCUAAAGUCAGUGGCGGUGCCGUCCGGCUCCGAGCGUAGUAAUUCUUCUCGCUCUGGAGGUCCGGUCGUGUGCUCGCCAGCAACCCCCAAUUUUUUUCAGGUUGACCUCGGAUCAGGUAGGGAUACCCGCUGAACUUAAGCAUAUCAAUAAGCGGAGGA
rnacentral:misc_RNA from 1 species